rnacentral:rRNA from 1 species
GUGGGGAAUAUUGGACAAUGGGCGAAAGCCUGAUCCAGCAAUGCCGCGUGAGUGAUGAAGGCCUUAGGGUUGUAAAGCUCUUUUACCCGGGAUGAUAAUGACAGUACCGGGAGAAUAAGCUCCGGCUAACUCCGUGCCAGCAGCCGCGGUAAUACGGAGGGAGCUAGCGUUGUUCGGAAUUACUGGGCGUAAAGCGCACGUAGGCGGCUUUGUAAGUUAGAGGUGAAAGCCCGGAGCUCAACUCCGGAAUUGCCUUUAAGACUGCAUCGCUUGAAUCCAGGAGAGGUGAGUGGAAUUCCGAGUGUAGAGGUGAAAUUCGUAGAUAUUCGGAAGAACACCAGUGGCGAAGGCGGCUCACUGGACUGGUAUUGACGCUGAGGUGCGAAAGCGUGGGGAGCAAACAGGAUUAGAAACCCCAGUAGUCC